rnacentral:lncRNA from 1 species
AAAAAUCACGCAACUUCAUUUCAGCUGCAAAAUGUGCGGAAGUUGGAGAGUCCUUUUUGUAUUACACGUCGCUACGUUUAUCAUCAAAACAGCGAAUACGCAACCGACGAAUGGAGGGGAUACUACGAGAUCUGAUUCUGACUCUGAUCCUGAGAAUCCGGAGAUAAAAGGAAAGAAAAAUCCAGAGGGCAAACUUAGUGCAGUCCCGUCGGAUUUGGGGCCUUCGGCGUCAAGAGGCUCGACUGAUUCAACAGGAUCAUCCGUGGGACUGACACCUUCAUCAUCAAUGGGAUCGACAACUUCAACAGGAACUGAAGAAUCAUCCUCGGAUUUCGGAAAGAAAGGAAAACCAGGUGUAGGGAAAUCUAUGCGAACAAAUAGGAAGUCAGAUGAGUGGUGGGCACGGAGUCGGAGUUCCUCGCUGAGCUCUGAUUCGUCCAGCCUCGAUUUGCCGACCAAGGAAGACCUGGCAGCUUCCAAGGAAGAAAAGCCUUCAUCACCAAAGUCAGAGGGAGAGAAGCCUCUAUUGUCAAAGGAAUCGCCGGAAAGAAUAGCGAACGCAGAAACGCCCUCAACCGAACCUGCAAAUAAAAGACCAGGGAAAUCUGUGCGAACUAGAAUUUCGAAAGAGUACUGGGACAAGGCAUCAAUUUCCUCACUGAGCUCUGACUCUUCAUCAUUCUCCUCAUUCAGCUCUGGACAUUCAUCUUCCCCAUUCAGCUCUGUGCCUUCCAGCCCCAAGGAGAGCUCUGAACCUUCCAGCCCCAAGAAGAAGGAGGAAUUAAGUGCAGAAGCGAAAUGCCAUUUGCAGUGCCUCAAUAAAGAAGGGUGGGUCAAUGGUGGAGAGGAGUACGAAAAUGCACAGAUACCGGUCAAGGAUGGAUACCUAGUUGAGGAGGACGGUGCUCCUACAUGCAAAUGCAAAUUUAACAGCCAGUUCUUGUUCUUCCUGAAUGGGAAAGGCGUUAAUACCAAGACGUACAUGGAAAUGGAAAAAGAAGAUCCAGUAAAUGCCCUUGAAUGGUUAGAAAAGCUUGGAGUCAAAGUCAACCUGCUCCAUACAACAAGGCAGAUGUCACGAUCACCGCCAGUUAAAAGGGCGGAUUUGCCGCUAGCACUCCAGAAGGAACUGGAGGAGGAAGAAUCGAAAAGAAACCGCCAUCUCGAUCGAAGAAUAAACCGCCAUCACGAUCGAACAAUAAACCGCCACCACAAUCGAAGAAUAAACCGCAAUCGUCAUCGAAAAAUGAACCGGAAUCAUCGUACAGGAGCCCGGAUAACUGCACCGAUAAGUGUCGAAUGGAUUUCGCGUUCAUUAAGCUAAAUGAAACGGAGUUAAAGGCAAAUGACAUCCCUUACCCCGGUCUAUAUAUCACGGUGCCCGUGAACGAUUCUGCCCCGAUACCGGAUUGCACUUGCAAAAUUAAUCCACGCCUGCUCGAUUAUUUGAGGGACAAGGGUCACAACGAAACUGAAUUCGUGGAGGCCCACGGGUUACACAAUGAACAUCCCUGGACAGGCCGUGUUUGGUUGGGCACAGAACCGCGCGGGUUCCGAGUCUUGUUCCACGAUGCUCCAGAGAGGGUCAAAGACCCCGCUACACCGGAAAAAGAGACGGUUACAGCUCCCGCCAAACCGGAAAAAGAGGCGGUUACAGCCCCCGCCAAACCGGAAAAAGAGGCGGUUACAGCUCCUGCCAAAGCGGGAAAAGAGGCGGUUACAGCCCCCGCCGAACCGGAAAAAGGGCCGGCCUCCAUCCCCACCACGCCAGGAAAAAAAGGGACUUGAUUAGACCACGUUUUCUCGAAU